rnacentral:pre_miRNA from 1 species
UGCACAAUUAUUGAGUCAUAUGGUAAGUGCAUGCAAUUUUACAAGAAACUUCCAAACUAUUUUCCAGAGUGGUUUUACCAUCUUAAAAUUUCUACCAAUAAU